GCGAGCUAUGCCAAAGUACAAGGAACCAUCUUGCAGAUCUUAUAUUACAAAGGUUGGGAAGGUACAAAGGGGUCUUGAGAAACAAGGAUUAGUAGCACAUCUCUCUCUAAUCUAGACCUACAGCGGAAUCCCUGGGACGUAAACAAGUCCACCCAAGGAGACUGCUGGAGCUCGAUCCAUACAUUAGGGCAAGCUACACCGCAACUCCAGACAGAAUCGACAAAUUAAGCUGCGGAGCGAGCUGGUUCCAUAAACGAACUUGCCACAGAUCUAGACUAGAGUUGGCAAAGAUCUUGCGACCUUCCAUGAAAGAAACUUCACUUGUUUGUUGUUUUUGCCAUGCCAUUGCCAGACAUGAUUUUACCACCAUCUUCCUUCCAAGUCCCCAGUGUUUGCAGAUCUGUGUCGAAAAGGAAAGUUUGUGAGUUGAACAACUUACCAAAGGGACACCAGACCCUCCAUUCCAGCCGGCUCUGGAACCUCAUGCUGUUGAUGUCAAACUAACUCUGCGCAAAGUAGCAAACAAAUACCAAACAGCAGAGUAUAAAGAAAACGGAGCAACAUAGAUACUCAAUGUAUAAGGAUUGAGUUCAAGAUCAUGCCUCAAUGACGACUUCUGGGAUCCAUCUGACUUCACACCUGCAUAAGCUUUAGAACCCACUUCAAUCCCAUUGUUCAGCUUUAUAAACCAAAUGAGCAAAAUAAAGAAGUUCAGAUCAUAUCUGGAAACAAACGCAAAUCAUUUCAAGAAGGAAAGAACGCGAGACCUCUAAUUCUUCAGGGAGGCCGCUCUGAGGAACUCCAUUCCCACCAAAGUGUAGAUUUUCAACAAGGACAUUUCCCAUGUCCUUUUCUGCAAUCUGCAGUAACUCUGCAUUAUUGCCGCCAAUGCUUUCACUUCCAACAAGCUCCAAAACGACCUUCUCGGCAACACGCUUUAAAGUUGUACUCACUGCUACGGUUGGAGCAGUGCUGUCCUUGACAGGUGAAAUACAAUCGACAUGCUUGCUAGUUACGUCAUCAGAACAAACCGCUUCCAUUUUCACACACUUGGAGCCUGAUGCGACUGAAUCCAAGCUUUUCUCAGAUGCAUGUGAUGAACUUGAACACUUUGUUUUAUCUCGAUUGCCACUGCCAGGUGAAUCCUGACUCCCACCGCUUGCAUUAGAAGUAACUUUCUGUUGGCUGUCACUUCUGGGCUCAUCACUAAUGUUGCCCGACCGAGGUGAUAAAGUUUUUGGGUGAACUGGGCUGAUUGAAGCCCUCUUAACAGAUCGGCAAGGUUCGGUAUCAUCAAUCCCAGUAGUAUCAUGCUUUCUCUUCAGCUGGCUGUCUGGAGAUCCAGUCAAUGUGCCAUUUGCAGUGUUAUUUUUAUCAGACUGGUGUUGAUGGUUCACAUGCCUUUGGGGACGAGGUCUCUUGUAUCCUUCUGGAAACACAUAAGCUGGAAUCUCUUUCCUCCGAACAUGAGAAACAGCCAACUCCAUCCCAGGUUUCCAGAACAUAUACAUGUUGAUCUCAUGCCUGAACUCAUCAACUGUUCCACGAAUAUCAAACUGCUGACCUUCUUGUAUUUUCACACCUUCUUUCCUUGAUAAGCCCAUGAAGAAAGCACAAUGAGCACACUGUCUAGAAGGAUCUGCAUACUCAUAUGGGUAUGGAUGGCAUUGCAAUUUCCCAUAGGUGUCCCGUUCAAUCUGCAAGUGUCAACCAAAAACCAAAGGCUAAAGAGUCAAUCAUCAGACAUAAAUAGUAAGAACACAACCACCACAACAACAACAAAGCCUUUAGUACUAAACAAGUUAGGGUAGGCUAAUAAAUAGUAUAAGAACGCAGCUGAAAUUAAAACACGGGCUGCUUGCUGUUUAAAACAGGCAUGCGAAUUGUCACCCUACAAGUUCCCAACUCAAUUAUUAAUUUCCACUCUAACCCUCCAUUAUAAUUGUUCUGCAGUUCAGACAGGCUUAACUUUACAUAACCCAAGAAUCAAAACAAUGCAAUGACUCCCAAUCUCACAACCAGGAAUCCCCGUAACAACUUCCCUGAUGCAGUAUAUAUAGCCUCAAAAGGAAGUGAACUUAUUACAAGCUGUGCACAAUAAUCUGAGCAUAAACAACAUACUAUUACCUUUAAAGUCAGUUGCCUCAAUCGAGACUCGACCCAUCCCUUCCAGAGUCUGAGAUCUGCAUCAUCCUCAGCGAUGAUGUCAACUUGCAGAUAAUUUUUAUACGCCU
rnacentral:lncRNA from 1 species